rnacentral:rRNA from 1 species
UACGAAGGGGGCUAGCGUUGUUCGGAAUUACUGGGCGUAAAGCGCACGUAGGCGGGUCGUUAAGUCAGGGGUGAAAUCCCAGAGCUCAACCCUGGAACUGCCUUUGAUACUGGCGACCUAGAGUUCGGAAGAGGUUAGUGGAAUUCCCAGUGUAGAGGUGAAAUUCGUAGAUAUUGGGAAGAACACCAGUGGCGAAGGCGGCUAACUGGUCCGAUACUGACGCUGAGGUGCGAAAGCGUGGGGAGCAAACAGG